rnacentral:tRNA from 1 species
AUUAUUAUAUUAAUAACUAAAAAUUUAGGUAGAAAUCCUAAAAAGGGGGGUAAUCCCCCUAAUCUUA